rnacentral:lncRNA from 1 species
GGCCAGCUCUGCCCGUCGCUCGCUCGCUCACUCCAGCAGCAGCAGCUCCAUGUCGGGAGAAGGUUGCGUCCAGCGGCAGCAACAGCCCUCGCCGAAGCGGCAGCCGGCGGCGGCAGCGGCUGCUACCCCCCUCCGGCAGGGAGCUGGGCGUGCAGCAUCUCGCAGGAGCUAGCUAUCCAUCUGCGGGCAGCCCUCCCACUCCGCCCUCCCCUGCCUUGCCCCCUUUCCCCCCGGGGGGGACUCCAGGCACGGGCACGGUGCCGGGGCUCUCGCCGGCAGCCCCGGGUCCCCGCCGCGCCGAGCUGCGGGACGCCGAAGGGGCAGGCGGCGGCGCCUCUUGGCGGCUUCUCCCGAGGAGGAGGAGGGCGCUACGCAAGGUGGAAGGAAGGAUUUGGAACAGACACACCAUAGGCUGCAGUGAUGGAUGA